GUACAGUAUCUGCGCUUAUGGAGAAACGAGGAAGUCACCAGUUGCCUAAUACACUCGAUAAAGUCAUAUUUUCAUGUUUCGAUUUGCUCAUAUCACUGCAUAUACAUAUGCAUAUACACACCAAGUCGACCUCUAAGCAGUGAAGGAAUUGCUGUGUUAUUUCAGGUUUUGUGCAACAGGAAAAUGCUACAAGCUGUGGUUGUGUUGAGAACACUCAAGCAAGCAAGAAACAUUUAUUUGAUUUUUCUCACAUUUAUAAAAAGUGAAGCUUCCUACUUGAGACAUCCUUUUCAAGAAUGCAAGCUCUCAACCUUCUAUUCUGCAAAAUGUGGAACACUACCUCUCACCCUCUCACGUGGAACAAAUGGACAACAUGUGGACCACUUACAACAUCAAGAAGCUCGCAGCAUGGUUAUAACUGCUAAUUCAUAUUUACAAAAUUUGCUUUUGAGGAAUUAAUGAGUCAAUAUUAUUCACCGCUGAUAUUUGUUAAAAACUUGAAUGUGUGGCAGACCAUUUCAAAGUGGAACAGCAGGGAACAUAAACUUUUUAAGAUUUAAAAUGAGGGACAUUCCUCAUAAAUUGGUAAAACUGAGAAGCAUGCUUUUUUAUACUUAAAAGGGAAAAGCUAAUGUAAAGACCAUUAUACUUAUGUGUGGACAUAGUCCUGUUUUGUCAUGUAAAAUAUUUUCUUUUACUUUUUCUGCAGUAUGGAAAAUUUGUAUGAUUAUAUUUUUCAUUGUAGGCUGACAUUUUCAGUGAAUACAAAUGCCAUAAUUGACUAUAUCUGGCACUAAAAAUGCAGACAGCAGUAGUAGUUUCACUAGUUCACUGCAUAUUUUUGAGUAUUUGUCACCUCAGAAACUUAGUUUGUUUUCAAGCUCUAACUGAACUGAGCAGAGUAACAGAAUGUAAACACUAGAACCUGUAUAAAUGCAAAUAUGAAAAUUAGUUGCAUGGUGCUUGAAAAGUUAUAAUGUAUGUAACAGUUUAUUAAGGCUUCAUUUGUUGCUUAUCCCUCUGAGAUCAACUGCACAUAAUUCUGUUAAUUACAAUGACAGAAAUGGCAUUUUGAACUAACUAAGCAUAUAUCUUUCAAGAUUCAGUUAAGUUACCAUAAAGGAAGAAGUAAACCAAAUGAUCCUUGCACCACAAAUACAAAGAUAUCCAGUCACACUUAUUACAAGAGUGGUGCUCUUUACUAAGACAACUACUUCCCUCUACAUAGAGAAACUGUGUUGAAGCGAACUCUCAGUGACAGUUGUUCUAUAGUAAAACAAAAUAUAACAUUAUUAUGGAGUGGGUCUAUUUUCCUUUUUGUCCAAUUAAUGAUUUGCUUUUUCCUAUUUAACAUUGUUGAAUGCCUGACAUGCAAGCUCUGCCCUUAUAAACCUUUGUGUAAUUAUUAAUGAUAUGAGGUUACAGAUAUUAACUGUUUAUAGAUGCUACUAACUAGUUUCAGAUGUGCACUGAUAUUACAUGGGUGUGUAACAUCAAAUAACCAGUUAUACAUAGCUGAGAUAUUAUAUCCCAGUAACUCAGAAUUUGUAGAUUUUAAAAGUCUGUUCGCAUGUAAAUUUAUUAAUAUUAUUAUUAUUUAUUUAUUUACUUUUGUUGACUGUUUUAGUCCCACUAUGCAUGUUGCAUGUUUUUACUUGAGACAUGAGUUGGUCUGUUGACAGGAAUCAGAAAAUUUGGUCAGGAUGCUAGGGAAAUUCCUUUCUCCUCUUAAUAAGUGUCUUGGGGUCUUUAACACCCAUGAGAUAGGACCUCAGUCUAACUUCCUAAUGAACUGCAAAUGCUGAAUGCAAGGUGAUACUGUAAAGAACCUGAACUCUAAUUUCAGGGCUUGCUUAGUUAUUUCCGAUUAGAAAUAUCAUGAUUUUUGAAGGUCUGCUUUCCCCAUCCCAGGGGAUACAUGUCUGUAUGCACUACACAAGCUACAUAAAUCCACCCAUUAAAUAUACUGAUGAAAGUCACUGGCACAUCAAAGAUAUGUAUAAAAUGUUUCUGCAUAGGGUAACUAGCUGUAAGAGACUACUGCAUAUGUGCUGAUAGGUUGCUUUAAGGUGCUGUGAUGUACGAAUGUAAACUUAAUGCCUGUGCAAGAAGUCAAUCAUCCUCUCAGGAUUUCCUAACUACAGAUACACAAUUUUGCACUUUUGAGGACCCAGUUCAGGGGAUUCGUAGACAAGUAGCACACACUGCAAUGCUAAUUAGUGGGUAAUUAGUGACUCUGCAAUGGAUGCAAGGAUUCAAAGAUGACAAUACAUAAUGCAUGUCUUCUAAUCUGUGAGACUCCCUGAAUGUUAGUGCUGAGCAAGUCUGUAGUAUUCACCUAUGAAUGCCAGACACAUUUGUCUGUGCCGACUUCCUGCUUGGAGUUAUAUACAAAGUACUAUCAGAAAUGGUGUAGUUGUACUUUUUAAUCUCUUUUCUCACCUCUUCUGCUUAUGUUAUCUACCAUAUUCAUGACAAAAUGUGCUACUGUAUAUUUCAUGUGACUCAUUUUUAAUUCUUGCAAAUGAAAUUUAUCUACAUGCAUGACUCUUUAUGUCUAUCACGUGAACAUGCUCACAGGUAUGUGCUGUGUAAUGAAAGCCACUACAGUCUGAUUAAUAAUAAUUAAGAAUAAUAAUAUCUUAAUUCUGCAAUGCCAGUGAACUAUAGAUAGCUAAUUUUGAAUGUCUCUGCUUGUAAGUAAUCUGCUGCCUUUUCAUUCUGUGUAUUUCUCAUUGUCUUAACUACUUACUAUAUGUUAAUUGUGGACCUUUUCUCCGCGGGCAUCCACUGAAAAUGGACCUGGUCCAGAUGGAUUUUCCCGGUUUGCAAAUGUAAAAUAAAUAAAUAA